GGAACUUCCACCUGCAGGAAGAACAUGUAUUGUUCUUUUUUCUAAUCCAUCAGUUGUUCCUGGAGGUUUUGUCCACUUAGCACAGGCAGUAUUUUUCCCUGGUGGAUUUCAGUAUAUUUCAGAAUUUCCUGACUGGAGUUCCACAGUGACUCCCAGAGAGCACGCUCUCUCUUACCUUCUUGCAUGUUUCGGUCUCCAUCUGUGUAAGAUGAAAAUACAAUGAUUCUGAUCAACCCUGAAGAUUGUCUGUCACUGGCAAUUUCAGAUUGUAAAUCAGUCAUGGCAAUAAGGACAUGUGAAGAAGAGGAUCAAAAGAAGUUACUCAGGGCUGGAUGAGAUCCUGUUCCAUGAAAAGUGUUAGAUUCUGAUAACCAGCCCUAAACUGGUUCUAAAUGGAUUGCAUGCAGCUGGGAUCCAGAAAGGAGCACACCUUCCUUUGAAACUGUGAGAGAGAAGCCUAAGCAAAAGUCUGGAUCUUCAAGCAUGGCUUUCAGGAUUUUAGACUGAGACCUGUCAAAUAAGGACUUUUAAAGCGGUUACAAAAUUCCCUUCAAGACAUUGAAGUAACUGUUUGAGCAGGGUCUGCAGCAGUUUGCUUUCAAGAUCUCCACCCAAGUACCUCGUAUAGUGCUGAUGGGAAAGCAUGAUUUUUCCUUCUGGGUCUGUUCUGAGGCAGCCAAUAGAGAAGGAGUUAACUGCUGUCCUCUUUUCUGCUGUUCCUGGCUGGAGUUGCUGGCAUCCCAUCUGGUCCAGGCUGUCCGAGUUCUUCCAGCUGUCUCUGGGGAAGGACCGCAAGGAAAUGAAAUUCACCUUCGCACUCCAACGUGACAGUCUGAUCCAGCCAUAGAAGGGAUGGGGAAUGCAGGCUGUACUCACGAAAACACUAAGGAAACUCAGCAGUGUAAGUGGUCAAGAGAAAUGAGACAUUCUUUGAGCCAAGUUGGCUUUAUUCCUGGUCUUUAUAAACCCACAUAAAAGCUCUCUGGAGUUUAAAGUGACUAUCAUGUUAGUUCUGUUGUGCUCUUAAGAACAAAGUCCUUUCAAAGGUGUUCUGUUUUGUUUUCCAAAAUAUGUCACAUCUUUCUGGAGUGAAUCCUUUCUUCCUUUAUUUGCAACAACUGUGAAAAUGUCCAAGGGUCACAGCCUGCAAGCACUCCUUGUGAACAAAUUAAUUACCCAGGCUUCUCCCAGAGAGGUUAUGGAGAGGGGUAAGUAGUCAGGAAGCUGAGCCUUUGGCCCGGAGAACCCAUUCCGUCUUGGAAAGGCACUAAUAAUGCAAUUAAAAAAGCCAGUAACGGAACCAAUACCACAGACAGCACAGUUAAGCAGGGGGUGGACCUGUGAGAUAGAAAAACCACACAAUUUCUUCAUCUCUACCCUAGCAGCUUAAUACACAAAAGAGGCUGAUAAAUCUGGCAGCCUGUCCACAUAUUUUCCACUUACUGAAAUGAAAUGUGUGUGACUGUUUCUCCAAGCUGCCUCGGGAGUAUCUACCUAUUCAGUUUCAACGUAAGAUACUUCCCUGAGAUUUUCCACUCCUCAAAAAAACUGUUUUCCAUGCCAGCAGCUGCCACAGGAGUAUCUGAGACUGCAGCUACCCCCAGUACUUGGAAAGCCUGAGAAACAGGCAUCCACAUGCAUGCUGCAGUGCAGAGGUGCAAGACAAAGGGGUGAGUGACCACAUGCAGGCUGCUCACAGCACUGUGUUCUCCACAUGGCCCUAUCCCACAGGACAAGUGCUUUCACAGGAGGCUGAACCUGGCCUAGGGGAGUGGCUUUGUUCUUCCUGGCUGGGAGUGCCUAAAAGCUGUGUAGGAAAAGCAGAGGUGCAGAUUGUAUUAGUUCUCAGAGAAGGAGACAGCUGUGCUAAGUUGGUGAAAAACCUGCUCCCUGUGAUCUUGUUCUAUAAACCAUGCUGCAGGGUAUUCUUUGAUGAUUAAGAGUAGCUCAUCUCACUGAGCACUCCUGCCAGCUGGUGGCCUGCACUCUGUGUCUACUUUCCUUCCAGUUAAACAGAGAAUAGAGUGGAAGGUGGUAAGGAAAAGUGUCAGAAGCUGCUGGGAAGGAUAGGUUGAAUGUGAAAUGGGGCUUGCAGGAUGUGCUGAGAACUCUUUGGUGUAAAGUCAGCAACAUCAGCCAAGCUGUUGCAGAUCCAGAGUUUGGAAGCUGUUGUGUUCAGUCUACAUCAACUAAAAGAACCUAAGUGAAGGAAGUGCCCUCCCUGUAUUACAAAAGCAGCAGCAUGUAUCAGCUUUUGAAGAUGCAGGAACAAAGGCUUCAAGUCACAAAUGCUUCUAAGGUUCUGUUAUAGACCUCUGUUUUGGCUUUUGUUGCUGAUGGUGUUUUAUUUAUUAAAGAGAGAUACGCCUGCUUUCUCCUUGAAGUCUUCUUCCAUGGGCAGUGGGGGAUGAAAACUGGAGUAGCAGACUGUUAGCUGGUAAAACAGAGAUUAAGUCAACUAACACAGAUGUCAGAUGUUGUGAAAUUGCCUUUGAGCUCAGUAUCUUAUUCUUCCUCUUUCCCAUUCUUUUAAUGUGUUUCCAGCACACUCAGUUCCAUUUCGUGCCCAUCACCUAGAGACUUUGCAUUGCUUUGACCAUGCUUUGGUGGGCCCUGUACCUCAGAUGUGAGAACGCAGCCUCAGUCAGUUCUGACCAGAAUUCCCUGAAAUGCAAUUUGUGAAGAUGACAUUUCUCCAUGGAGAACAUUCAGUAUAAUGCUGUGGUUUCCAGUUUUCUCCCUUUUUGUAAUUUUGUAUCCACUAUUAACUCAGUCUAUCAUUCUGGGCAGGUGUGUGAUUUUGGUCUGUCUGUUCUGUUUGGUGGGAAAUGCAAUACUUUUGCCUUCUUACUAAAUCCUGUGUCAGGAAGAUAAAAGAAAGUUUG